CCCCCCGUGGUUCCUUUGCUCUACCUCUUUCGCUUAUAAAUUCUCUAAAAAUCCAACACCACCAGAAGGAACCACGAAAAUACUUUUCCGCCGCCGCAAGCUUCUGUCUCCGCAAGAUCUCAUCCGAGGACCGUUCUGGAGCCCUGCCGGAGGGGGAUUUGGACACGGAGGUCUUCUUCAUCAACACCAUUGCCUCUUCGAUGAUGCGUGAGUAGUUCACCAGAGACCUUCGGGUCCAUAGCUAGUAGCUAGAAGGCUUCUUCUCUCUCUUGGAUCUUCAAUACAAAGUUCUCCAUGAUCUUCAUGGAUAUCUAUCCGAUGUAAUCUUGUUUUGCAGUGUGUUUGUCGAGAUCCGAUGAAUUGUGGAUUUUUGAUCAGGUUAUCUAUGAAUAUUAUUUGAGACUCCUCUGAUC
rnacentral:lncRNA from 1 species